UACGGAGGGGGCUAGCGUUGUUCGGAAUUACUGGGCGUAAAGCGCACGUAGGCGGCUUUGUAAGUUAGAGGUGAAAGCCCGGGGCUCAACUCCGGAAUUGCCUUUAAGACUGCAUCGCUAGAAUUGUGGAGAGGUAAGUGGAAUUCCGAGUGUAGAGGUGAAAUUCGUAGAUAUUCGGAAGAACACCAGUGGCGAAGGCGACUCACUGGACUGGUAUUGACGCUGAGGUGCGAAAGCGUGGGGAGCAAACAGG
rnacentral:rRNA from 1 species